rnacentral:rRNA from 1 species
UACGGAGGGGGCGAGCGUUAUUCGGAAUUAUUGGGCGUAAAGGGCGCGUAGGCGGCUGUACAAGUCAAAGGUGAAAUCCCUCGGCUCAACUGAGGAACUGCCUUUGAAACUGUACGGCUUGAGGCCGGGAGGGGGUAGCGGAAUUCCCAGUGUAGCGGUGAAAUGCGUAGAUAUUGGGAGGAACACCAGUGGCGAAGGCGGCUACCUGGACCGGUUCUGACGCUGAUGCGCGAAAGCGUGGGUAG